UUGGUUUUCAUCCGGAUGUAAAAUAGACAGUCCCAAAAAUUAAGACAAACUGGAGUGCUACGGUCGCUGUUAAAAACUCGACGCGAUAUUAGUUUUGAAAAAAUAAAUCAACCAAGCAUUAAGUAACUAGCCGUAGUAUAGUAGUACGUCACUCGUUCCUUCUACAAUCAAGGGAGAGAGUACCGAGAGGAAGAAGAAGAGUAAUUCAAAGUGCAAUUAAUCAAUUUGAUGGAGACGCUCCUGGAUGGAGGCCUACGUGCGUCGCCGGAGAGGUGGGCGGGGCGACAGCUCGUAGUUACGUACGUACGCGGUGUAGUAGUGACGCGCUCACGCGGACUGCUUCUAG
rnacentral:lncRNA from 1 species